CCUACGGGCGGCAGCAGUGGGGAAUAUUGGACAAUGGGCGAAAGCCUGAUCCAGCCAUGCCGCGUGUGUGAAGAAGGCCUUCGGGUUGUAAAGCACUUUCAGUGGGGAAGAAAGCCUUGGGGCUAAUACCCUCGAGGAAGGACAUCACCCACAGAAGAAGCACCGGCUAACUCCGUGCCAGCAGCCGCGGUAAUACGGAGGGUGCGAGCGUUAAUCGGAAUUACUGGGCGUAAAGCGCGCGUAGGCGGUCUGAUAAGCCGGUUGUGAAAGCCCCGGGCUCAACCUGGGAACGGCAUCCGGAACGGUCAGGCUAGAGUGCAGGAGAGGAAGGUAGAAUUCCCGGUGUAGCGGUGAAAUGCGUAGAGAUCGGGAGGAAUACCAGUGGCGAAGGCGGCCUUCUGGACUGACACUGACGCUGAGGUGCGAAAGCGUGGGUAGCAAACAGGAUUAGAUACCCCAGUAGUC
rnacentral:rRNA from 1 species